UAUUGGACAAUGGGCGGAAGCCUGAACCAGCCAUGCCCCGUGCAGGAUGACUGCCCUAUGGGUUGUAAACCGCUUUUGUCCGGGAAUAAACCUCCUUACGUGUAGGGUGCUGAAUGUACCGGAAGAAUAAGGAUCGGCUAACUCCGUGCCAGCAGCCGCGGUAAUACGGAGGAUCCGAGCGUUAUCCGGAUUUAUUGGGUUUAAAGGGUGCGUAGGCGGCCCGUUAAGUCAGGGGUGAAAUACGGUGGCUCAACCAUCGCAGUGCCUUUGAUACUGACGGGCUUGAAUCCAUAUGAAGUGGGCGGAAUAAGACAAGUAGCGGUGAAAUGCAUAGAUAUGUCUUAGAACUCCGAUUGCGAAGGCAGCUCACUAAGCUGGUAUUGACGCUGAUGCACGAAAGCGUGGGGAUCGAACAG
rnacentral:rRNA from 1 species